rnacentral:lncRNA from 1 species
GGCUCCAUUCUCUUCAGCAUAUUGCAUCAUCUUCAACCAGAUGUCAAUAUUGAUUGCAUUCUUCCUGGUUCUUUAGGAACACACUGUGGCCUACCUAGUUAAACUUAGAGGUCUCUCCAGCAGCAGCACACGGGAUUUAUCGCUUCUCCUUUAACCCAGCUCGCGUGUCUGGCACUAGAAACUCUACCGAUCGCAAGUACCUUGUGUUCUCUUCCCUCACCGGGGAAACGGAGCGAUUUGGUGGCAGAAAUUAUGAGGAAAAUACACUUUUGUUAGUCCAAAGAAACACAAAUCGAGCACACCGAAAGGCUCCCCGGCCGUGCCGCGGGGCGGGCUCUGCAACGCACCAAUCACCGCGCGGCUCCUCGCUAAAAAUACGAGCAUCUGACCUGCGCCAGCCCAAUUGUGUUCGCCUGCUCCGCAGAGGACGCCUGCCGCGAUGUCCGAGACCGCUCCCGCCGCCGCGCCCGAUGCGCCCGCGCCCGGCGCCAAGGCCGCCGCCAAGAAGCCGAAGAAGGCGGCGGGCGGCUCCAAAGCCCGCAAGCCCUCGGGCCCCAGCGUCACCGAGCUGAUCACCAAGGCCGUGUCCGCCUCCAAGAAGCCGAAGAAGGCGGCGGGCGGCUCCAAAGCCCGCAAGCCCUCGGGCCCCAGCGUCACCGAGCUGAUCACCAAGGCCGUGUCCGCCUCCAAGGAGCGCAAGGGGCUCUCGCUGGCCACGCUCAAGAAGGCGCUGGCUGUUGGUGGCUACGACGUGGAGAAGAACAACAGCCGUAUUAUAGGUAAACGCGACAAAUUGACAACCACUCGGGCCAGGUUGCAUAAAUUCCAAUUUAAUAGAAUAAUUGAGCAAGUCACAAGUAAGCAAAACAGCGCUGGGCGGCCGGGGGGGAGUCUCCUGCUCCACCAACGGCGCGCGCAAUCCCCCGCUCACAGUCCCCUUAUAUGCCUGUAACUUCUGUGGUUGC